rnacentral:rRNA from 1 species
UGUUAGCGGCGGACGGGUGAGUAACACGUGGAUAACCUACCUAUAAGACUGGGAUAACUUCGGGAAACCGGAGCUAAUACCGGAUAAUAUUUUGAACCGCAUGGUUCAAAAGUGAAAGACGGUCUUGCUGUCACUUAUAGAUGGAUCCGCGCUGCAUUAGCUAGUUGGUAAGGUAACGGCUUACCAAGGCAACGAUGCAUAGCCGACCUGAGAGGGUGAUCGGCCACACUGGAACUGAGACACGGUCCAGACUCCUACGGGAGGCAGCAGUAGGGAAUCUUCCGCAAUGGGCGAAAGCCUGACGGAGCAACGCCGCGUGAGUGAUGAAGGUCUUCGGAUCGUAAAACUCUGUUAUUAGGGAAGAACAUAUGUGUAAGUAACUGUGCACAUCUUGACGGUACCUAAUCAGAAAGCCACGGCUAACUACGUGCCAGCAGCCGCGGUAAUACGUAGGUGGCAAGCGUUAUCCGGAAUUAUUGGGCGUAAAGCGCGCGUAGGCGGUUUUUUAAGUCUGAUGUGAAAGCCCACGGCUCAACCGUGGAGGGUCAUUGGAAACUGGAAAACUUGAGUGCAGAAGAGGAAAGUGGAAUUCCAUGUGUAGCGGUGAAAUGCGCAGAGAUAUGGAGGAACACCAGUGGCGAAGGCGACUUUCUGGUCUGUAACUGACGCUGAUGUGCGAAAGCGUGGGGAUCAAACAGGAUUAGAUACCCUGGUAGUCCACGCCGUAAACGAUGAGUGCUAAGUGUUAGGGGGUUUCCGCCCCUUAGUGCUGCAGCUAACGCAUUAAGCACUCCGCCUGGGGAGUACGACCGCAAGGUUGAAACUCAAAGGAAUUGACGGGGACCCGCACAAGCGGUGGAGCAUGUGGUUUAAUUCGAAGCAACGCGAAGAACCUUACCAAAUCUUGACAUCCUUUGACAACUCUAGAGAUAGAGCCUUCCCCUUCGGGGGACAAAGUGACAGGUGGUGCAUGGUUGUCGUCAGCUCGUGUCGUGAGAUG